CAACACUCAGACCACACUCCUCCUACCACCCACUGUGUUGUUACAGGUGAUACAAUCACAACUCUGGAAACUAUUAACAGAGAAUGAGGAUACAGCACUUGAAAGUGGAAACCUUGGCGCUAGAGCUGCACUUGAGAUGGAUGUAAAGUCUAUACAGCACUUUCUUCAACCAAAAUGUCCGCCACAGACUUCGUGGACAUGACUGUAGCCCUGUACUAGGCCUGUACUAUGUGACUGCUGUGGUCUGAAAGAUCCUUGGCAUUGUCAUACCACAGCUGUUGAAAGAUGAUGCUUGUUAUUACCUUGCCUGCAGCAUGGUAUAAAACAAGGACUACACCACUCAGAGUCGGUAGAGUCAGGAGUGUCUGAAUGGGGUUUCCAAGUUAAAUCGUGAUGGGGUAGUACAUGAAACUGCCAUUAUUCCGGACUAGAACAAGUUCAUACAGGCAUGCACACAGACACACAGACAGGCAGGCAGGCAGGCACAUGCGCUCUCGCACACACACGCGCAUACCCAAAUGCAUGUUGCUACUUUAAGUGCAAAAGACGUGGCAUUAAACCCCACUUGACCCCCACCUCUGAUGUACUACAUGAUACAGGUUGUACCAGAUGUGUAAUAUUCUUCAAGAACUCGGUAACCAUUCAUCCACAUGUUCCAUGUCUCUUGGAGGAGUUGAAGUGGGUAAUCCCAGCAGUGGCGUCUUGAAACCAUUCUCAGUACCAGAUUCCAUCAAACUUUGGAAUAACUAGAAUGGACUUCAGAAAUACAGCCAGCCAGCAUCUUUAAGCAUUGCAGCGGUCUAAUGAAGAACUAUGAAGAAAAAUAGGUGUUUUUGUACAUCACAUGAGACGUGACAUGUUGAGAUUCAAACUCGGAUCUUCAUCAUGAGAAGAAAAUGCUUUCUUCACUAGGCUACCCUAAUGUCACAAGUAAUGUAUUUAUGUUGAAUCUUUAGAAUGAAUUCAGUCCUGAGGAGAAAUGUAUGAAUUCAUAUAGAGACAAGUGUGGAGAGAUAAACUGAUGGGCAUCUAGAAACAUUUCUAUGACUGUACCAUGAAAGUACCUUUUGUUAAGUUUGUGAUUCUUAUUUUGUUGAUGAUAAUAAACUUGGUUGAUUUUUGAGAGUC